rnacentral:rRNA from 1 species
CAAUAGCGUAUAUUAAAGUUGUUGCAGUUAAAAAGCUCGUAGUUGGAUUUCUGGUAGGAGCGACCGUGCCGAACUUGAUUGUUCGAGUAUUGUGUUGUCUUAAGCCAUCCUCGUGGAGAACUUUUCUAACAUUAACUUGUUGGGAUUGGGACCCGCGUCGUUUACUGUGAAAAAAUUAGAGUGUUUAAAGCAGGCAUUAGCUUGAAUACAUUAGCAUGGAAUAAUAAGAUAGGACUUUGGUACUAUUUUGUUGGUUUGCAUACCAAAUUAAUGAUCAACAGGAACAGUUUGAGGAUAUUCGUAUGAACAUGUCAGAGGUGAAAUUCUUGGAUUUUGAUCAGACGAACUACUGCGAAAGCAUUUAUCAAGGAUGUUUUCAUUAA